GACAGAGGUGCCGAGCGUUAGGCGGAAUCACUGGGCUUAAAGCGUGUGUAGGCGGGCCGUUAAGUACCUUGUGAAAUCCCCCGGCUCAACCGGGGAAUGGCUGGGUAUACUGGCGGUCUUGAGCGAUCUAGGGGCAGAUGGAACAAGGGGUGGAGCGGUGAAAUGCGUAGAUAUCACUUGGAACGCCAAAGGUGAAGACAGUCUGCUGGGGAUCUGCUGACGCUGAGACACGAAAGCCAGGGGAGCGAACGGG
rnacentral:rRNA from 1 species